rnacentral:rRNA from 1 species
CUCAAAAGUCAUAUCACCUUGUACUAUGAUCCCAUCAGAUCUCACAAGCUAGGCAGCCUUGGGCUGAGCUAAUAGGUAGAUAGGAGACCUCCAAGGAAUACGUGUCAUGGAU